rnacentral:tRNA from 1 species
GCAUUGGUGGUUCAGUGGUAGAAUCCUUGCCUUCCGUGAGGUAGACCUGGGUUUAUUUCCCAGCCAAUGCA